rnacentral:miRNA from 1 species
UGCGUCGCGGGCUUCAUUGAAGGU